GAGACACCCCUCCAGGGCAAGACUUGCUUCCGUGGGGCUUUGGUGCUCACUGAGUCUGCCCCCUGAAUGUGUCCUU
rnacentral:pre_miRNA from 1 species